CAAAGUGGACCUGUUGUGUGAAGAAUGCUGGAUAUGUAUUUUAUACAACAGGUAAGUAGGUUGUUUUUGUUCAAAGUGGACCUGUUGUGUGAAGAAUGCUGGAUAUGUAUUUUAUACAACAGGUAAGCAUCUGACGUAAAGUAUCUCAUAUGGAUAGCAUUCUUUAUUUUUUUUAGAGCUCAACGGUGUUGCAUUAUUUGUUAUCUGAUCUUUGAUGUUCCACAUUUACUUUUUCAAUUAUAUUUUGGCAGAGGUUCUGCAUGCCUUUUUAAUAUCCAAUUGCUAUUUUUUUUUUGGAUAUAGGUUCGAUAAUUAACAGUAAUAUUUCCCAUCCCCCUUUGUUGCUCAUAAUACGUUUUGGCAUAGCUUCUUUAUCAGGUUGCAAAUGUGGCAGCCCAAAACACCAAUUCUUAUCAGAAGAUGGAGCCACGUAAAAGGCUUCAAAGAUACAUACCUGCUAGUUUUUCCCACACCUAUGACACUAUGGAUCUUGACCUGGGAACCUUAUAUUGGAUGAGACAUCUCUGGAUUUUGGGUUUUAUUUCGAACACAUUCUUGGAUGUGAUUAUCAGUUGUUCGAUACUUCCUGGCAGAGGCUGGCUGUGCCUGAAGUUCUGAAUGAAGGAAAAGAAAUGCAAGGUGUAACUAUUUGGUUGUGUGGAGUUGAUUUUCUCUUGAGGGUGGGAUAUUUUUCGUGCUCGUUGGUAGGAAACGACAUCCAAAACGAAAGGUGACAGGUUGCAAAGGUGGUAGCAGCAUUUCGGGGAGAAAUGAAGAUUCUGUGCUAUGUGCGGAGUGGGCGAGAGGAGAGAAAGGAUCUUUAAUUUGAGCUUCAGCUCUUGCCUAUAAGAUGGAGCUCGAGUUGGCAUAGUAGAUGUGUAACAGGGAGCAGCAGCGCAGGUUACAUUCUUUUCUUUUUACCUUUAUUUGAAUUAAUAGUCAAUAUGUUCUCACUGUUCUAUGUUUUAUUAGUGUAUUAGUCUCUGUUGUAAGACAGUAAACACAACACAGUAAAUUUCUCUCAGAUUACUCUUCUAAUUAAGUGGAGUGAAUAAAGGAAACUGGGCCUCCGAUGAAUCUGCUAAUGGUUGAAAUCUUUCAUAUUCUUCCUAACCUGCACACUGAAACAACUCACUAGGCGGUGCCGGAAUGAUCCCGGGGGUUUGAGGUUCCGGUAUGCCCUCUGAUGCUUAAGUUAGAGCCUCUCCUAGGAUAGUAAAGAAUAGUACAUGCGGCAAAAAUCCUAGCAAUAGUUAGGGAUGUUAUCACUCUUCAUUCCUUUAUAUAUGAAACAUUAUACGGCUGUGAUUGAAGGAGAAAGAAAGUAGGGCAGUUUAUACUUGGACUGUUGUCCUUUAUUUCCAAAAAGAAUGUGACACUGAUGUCAGACACGUGUGUAGCGGAAUAUUCUUCUCUGGGUGACAGUUUUAUGACAAAGGAAAUCUGCUUGCAGCUAGCUCGGCCUUUGGGACUGAGCCUUCACCCGAGCUCUCUACUUGGAGUUAUCUCCCGAGCUCCUUUUAAGUGAAGUGGAAAUUGUUGUGGUUUACCUUGUCCAUUCACGUGUCAGUCACGUGUGAUGAUGACGUGGCAUGCAAAAUAUUUUCAUGGUAUAACGGUUUAUAUACCCUUUUUCAGGAUUUGUGGAAAAAAGCUGUCAUUUGUCAAUCGUCAUCAAGCGGAUGCUAGUUGUUUGGAUACCAAUUCUAUAGAGCUAAAUGCCUUCGGUAAGUCCAAUUUGCUAUAGAUGCGUAAAGGGUCUCCUUUAGAUUGAUUAACAAACAGUCACAACAGAGUCCUGAUGGUCUGACGUAUUUCGGUACCCCCAUAAACUUCCAAAUACCUAUACUACAAUCCUUACCCCUUGUGUUGAUGUAGCAGUAACUAUUUAAAAUUUGAAUAUUGAUUACGUUGAGUUUUCAGAAUUUAACUGGAUAAAGGUUAUUAGGAAUUGGGAUGUCAGGCAAACGAGUCAGUGUAGAAAAAUAUGUGGUUCGAGUAUAAAGCAUUGUUUCCGUUAACCUGAAGAUCGACUUAUUCAGGAGGUCGACUUAUUCUGUUAAUGGUUAAUGGUCCGACUAAAGAACAGAAAUAGAUUUUUGUGAGCAUGCAACGGUGCAAUGUUCCAAGCAUCUGCUAAACGCUGAAGCAAUCUCCCUUAAUGAGAAUCCAUCAUCAAACUAAACACCGAAGCGAUCUCCCUUUAAUUAGCUUGCCUUCCUUUUCUUCUGGCUUUCCCUAAAUUUCACGAGCCAAAGUCCCAUCAGUUGAUCUGGAAUAUGGAAGCUUGGAGAUUGUCACUGAAAAUGUGAAAGCUUCAUGAGCAAGAUGGAAGGUCGCGAUUGAUGCAUGGAAAAUGAAAUGACGCACUGAUCAAUGCUCAGCGCACAAAUAGGCAGUCUUGAUUGAACUUUUCAUUGCAAAGGCUAUAAAAGGGCGCGUGUGAGUGUUGAUUUAAGACAUCCUGUUGGAGAGAGGGAGAAUCAUCCUCUUGUGACUCUUUAAGCGUGGAUGUGCCCAGGUUCUUCGGGUGGUUCGUGGCGAGGGAGAUCAUCCGCUUUGGGCUCUUGACUGUGGGUGUAUUUGGGGUCUCGGUGCAAGGUGAGCGGAGGGUUUACAAGUUUGUUUUAAUCAGAACCUGUAACUGUUGUGGAUUAUGGUGAUUUUCCUUGCUGAGGAAUCAUGAAGAAAGGCUUGUA